UACGUAGGUGGCAAGCGUUGUCCGGAUUUACUGGGCGUAAAGAGCGCGCAGGCGGUCGUAUAAGUCGAAUGUGAAAGCCCCCGGCUCAACUGGGGAGGGUCAUUCGAUACUGUUCGACUCGAAGGCAGGAGAGGGAAGUGGAAUUCCGGGUGUAGUGGUGAAAUGCGUAGAUAUUGGAAAGAACACCGAUGGCGAAGGCACUCUACUGGGCUAUUACUGACACUCAGAGACGAAAGCUAGGGGAGCAAAUGGG
rnacentral:rRNA from 1 species